AACGGCCAUACCAUGCUGAAUAUACCGGUUCUCGUUAGAUCACCGAAGUCAAGCAUCAUUGGGCGCGGUCAGUACUUGGGUGGGGGACCACCUGGGAACACCGCGUGCCGUU
rnacentral:rRNA from 1 species